UAAGAAGCCAUCUUGUUUAAGCACAAACCUCAACAGGCAAUUCAUUAUACACAUAUUAUAUUCUUCUUGUUCUUGGCCUUUGUUUGCUCCAAGUUUAAUUUCUGCAUUCUACGGUACGAUGCAGAUAUUCGUGAAAAUGCUCACGGGCAAGACGAUAACCCUAGACGUGGAAACCUUCGACACCAUUAAUAAUUUGAAAAUCAAGAUCUAUGAAAAAACAGGGAUUGAAACAGAUCAUCAGAGGCUGAUAUUUGGUGGCAAGCAACUGGAGAAAGGCACUGUGGAGGAUUACUCCAUAAGAAAAGAGUCUACUCUUCAUCUUGUUCUUCGCAUGCUUGGUGCCAUGCAUCAAAAUCUUAAAUUUUCUCGUAAAUAAAUACUUUGAUUUUGUACUUUUUGUUUAAGCAAUAUUAGCCAGAAUCAGAAAUGAGAAGUGAUAAGCAGAUAGAAUAAAUUCUUGGAUAUUAAUACUGUUAUAUAUAAGUUACAUUCGUCUAAAUGAAUUUGAAUAAAAUUUGCUUAAUCAUUGUGUUCA